UUUAUGGAUCUCAGCUUUCUUAUGAAAACAAGAAGCCGACAGAAUGCUCUUUUCUCUAAAUUUCUAUUAUUUUCAACUGCAAGAGCGAGGAGAGCAAAAAUCUCUAGUCAUCUUUUAUUUGUAACUGGUUUUUAGUUAGGAAUUUGGAUCCUAGGAAGAGCCUCAAGAAACUGGAUAGACUCCUCUAGGACAUCUCACAGGAAUGAAUAACCUUGAAAACUUGAAAGUGGAUUCGACUACCUGGUGACACAGACCACAUGGAAAGGACAUCUUAGUCUGAUAGCCUCCAGCACCAUAAACUUGGAUAAGCCAUCUGACCUCUCCAGGACUUGGUUUAUUCAUUUGGGCCAAGUGACUCAUAAGGUCUGUGCCAGAUCUAAAAACAUCAUGGGUUUGUAUUAUUGGUGGGGAAUACUUUAAUAAAGCUCAGAUUGACAAAUGUUGCAAAGCUAUACUUUAAAUACAAAGACA
rnacentral:lncRNA from 1 species